UACGGAGGGGGCUAGCGUUGUUCGGAAUUACUGGGCGUAAAGCGCGCGUAGGCGGGCUUGCAAGUCAGGGGUGAAAUCCCGGGGCUCAACCUCGGAACUGCCUUUGAUACUGCGAGUCUCGAGUCCGAGAGAGGUGAGUGGAAUUCCUAGUGUAGAGGUGAAAUUCGUAGAUAUUAGGAAGAACACCAGUGGCGAAGGCGGCUCACUGGCUCGGUACUGACGCUGAGGCGCGAAAGCGUGGGGAGCAAACAGGAUUAGAUACCCCGGGUAGUCC
rnacentral:rRNA from 1 species